UCAGCCGGUACUCGCGAAUCAUCUAGUUAAGAGUUUGAUCAUGGCUCAGNAUGAACGCUGGCGGCGUGCCUAAUACAUGCAAGUCGAGCGAAUGGAUUAAGAGCUUGCUCUUAUGAGGUUAGCGGCGGACGGGUGAGUAACACGUGGGUAACCUGCCCAUAAGACUGGGAUAACUCCGGGAAACCGGGGCUAAUACCGGAUAACAUUUUGAACCGCAUGGUUCGAAAUUGAAAGGCGGCUUCGGCUGUCACUUAUGGAUGGACCCGCGUCGCAUUAGCUAGUUGGUGAGGUAACGGCUCACCAAGGCAACGAUGCGUAGCCNGACCGUGAGAAGGNGUGAUCNG
rnacentral:rRNA from 1 species